rnacentral:rRNA from 1 species
GUAGGGAGCGAGCGUUGUCCUGAAUUACUGGGUGUAAAGGGUGCGUAGGCGGCUCUGGUAAGUUAGUGGUGAAAACUAUGGGCUUAACCCAUAGCCUGCCAUUAAAACUGCUGGGCUUGAGUGAAGUAGAGGUAGGCGGAAUUCCCGGUGUAGCGGUGAAAUGCGUAGAGAUCGGGAGGAACACCAGUGGCGAAGGCGGCCUACUGGGCUUUAACUGACGCUGAGGCACGAAAGUAUGGGUAGCAAACAGGAUUAGAUACCCUGGUAGUCCAUACCGUAAACGAUGAUUACUAGGUGUGGGGGGUCUAACCCCCUCCGUGCCGGAGUAAACACAAUAAGUAAUCCACCUGGGGAGUACGACCGCAAGGUUG